UUAGUAAAAAUCCUGUCUGCAUCAUUGAAUUUGGAAAUUGACUUUUCUUUCACAUCUCAUUUUCCUUUACCCUAUAUUCUGAGAAAACUUGUAUAUGUUUCUGUCGCACUUCUAACCAAUUUUCACUCAUACAUGUAAUGCCUUAAACAAACACCUUUUAUUGGUGAUAAUGAUUCUAACAUUUCCUAUUGUUAGCUUAACUUUCUUCAACACUAUUUUUACAUUUUUCGUCAAUAUUUUAACAAUUCUGCACAUUUUAUUCAUUUUACUCUCUGUAGCCAUUUAUACACUUGUGAACCAUCUAGCUAAGAACACAACAAGUUACAGCAUUACUGUCAAGCUGGUAGCUAUAUUUUCUUCAUUCUUCAACAACUUACGUGACACAUCCAUCACCCAUAUGAACUGCUGCUGUCAGUCAUUUCUAAAACAUUUUCUCUCUAAAACUUUUUCCAUUUCUCCUAAUAAUCUUACAGAGGCAUAACAGUAGAACUGUACUGCUGAACUUCUUAAUAAUCCUCAAUUUAAUGGGACACACCCACUUGGAAAAUCUACCUCCAUGAAAACUACAGCUGGACCAUAUAAUUCUUCUAAACAUUACAAUCCAAUUAGCCAUCUAACAAGUCAACUAAUAUGAGAAAAGAGCAAUAUGAAUGCCAAUUGAGAGAAAGAACUGCUAGGUUAGAUCCUUCAAAUUACUUGACCCUUUUUAAAAUUCCAAAUCGUCGUCAUUAUGAGUGUUAAUCUGCAUUUUAUGAUGCUUCAUAACGUAAUGAACACUUUAGGCAGAAAUACUUCAAUAAACACAUUCAUUGCUAUCGUACAGCCAUUGCACUUUCACCAACAACACUGUCUUAUGCCAAUAGAGUGAUCACUUAUGUUCAAAUCAAAAUGCAACUUUACUGCAUUUCAUUGUUCUUUUAAGUAACGUAAAUAACACUUCAAAAUUAGAAGCUGUCUUACCUCUUUGUAUGCGCCUGUAUCUACGUCUGACGAAGUACAGAACGACUGCAACAAGCCUUGAAUCUGAAUCUCCGCUACAUUAAACGUUAUUCUCCGCAUUCAACUACUACCAAACAACUUGGGAAAUUCAAAGAAUCAAUUGAAGGUAUACUUAAUCUUCAAAUGUUACCAUAUGUACAACUGUUAUAUUCAGCUUUCCUGUCUGCUGCACAUGUAGCAAUACAGAUGACAUUUAACAGAGAUUUUCAUUCUGUAAAGACUGCCUGAGAUUUAGCACAGAUGUUUUUCAUCAAGAUCUCCAUCAGCACCAAAACCUUUAAUGUUUACUUAUACAAUAUCAUUAUCCUCCACUUCCAAAGCUUGUACCAUUUUUCCGAUCACUCACAUAUUCAUGGCACCAUUUGUAGCAACUUCUUCCUCCUGAAUUGAUACUCUACUUUCCCACUCUUUCAACUUUUCCAAAUACAACUUCAAUUUUGCCUCAACUUUAGCUUUUUCAUUUUUUAACUCCUCAUUUUUCUUCUGCAUAUCCUUUAAUGAAUUCUCCAUUGGUUAAAGGAUCUGCAAAAGAAAAAUGAGAAGCUAAAAAAUGAAGAAGCUAAAGUUCGCGCAAAACUUAAGAUAUAUUUGAAAAAAUUCAAAGAGUGGGAAAGUAGAGUAUCAAUUCAGCAGGAAGAAGCUGCUAGAAAUUGUACAACAAAAUACUAAAGCUUUUGUUGCUCAUGGAGAUCUUCAACAAAACCAAUUGUCACCACCUAGGUCUCCAUUAGUUCACUCAACUGCAAAUGGAAAUGCAACUGGAAGUGAUAAAUGAACACAUGAAGGUAUUAUUAUGCUUAUAUCUGUCUUGUAGACCUUUGCUUUUGAGUUAUGCACUCAAUUUUUGUAUGCUUUUCAACUUUGGUUAGGAACUUACAAUUAUUCAGUGAUGCUUUUUGUGGUAUCGUUAAGCUGCCAUAAUGAUAUUGCACAACAAAAUAGUAAAGCUUUUGCUGCUCAUGAAGAUCUUCAACAAAACCAAGUGUCACCACAUAUGCCUCCAUUAGUUCACUCAACUGCAAAUGGAAAUGCAAAUGGAAGUGAUAAAUGAACACAUGAAGGUAUUAUUAUGCUUAUAUCUAUCUUGUUGACCUUUGGUUUUGAGUUAUCCACUCAAUUUCUGUAUGGUUUUCAACUUUGGUUAGGAACUUACAAUUAUUCAGUGAUGCUUUUUGUGCUAUCGUUAAGCUUUAGUUAUGUAGCCAUGUAUCUUCUAAUAUUUGCUUACCUUUGGACCUAAACCUAACUCCUAACUAUUUAUAUGGAACUGCAAAUGUGCUACACACUGACUAUAACUGCAGGCAGAGGUAACACGGACUUCAUUUAUACAAAAAUGAAUCGGGUUAAUUGUCCUGAUGUUUGGACAUUACAUCCCAUGCCUUAUGCUGGUACUUCUGCUUCACUCAAUACCAAUGUUUCCAACAUACAAAAGAAAAGCCGCCAUUCAGAGCUACCAGGUACAGAUAAUUUAUCACGCUUAUUCUUACAUUUCCUUUGUUACCUCUCACAUUCAACCCACAUCUGAAGUUAGCACUAAUGAUUUACUCAAUUUCUAAAUGUUUUUACAUCCAUUGUUCAACAUAUAUUGCAAAUGAAGAAAAUCUAAAUUAUAUUUUUUUUGUUAUACCAAUAGAGCAGUAGUAAUCUGUCUGUCGUUGUCAACUUACUAUUUCGGCUACCAUAUUAACCACAUGACACAGGAUUUGAUGUGUCUGUCUGUCUAUGUAUAUAUAUAUAUACAUAUAUUAUCUAUAUAUAGAUACAUAUAUUAUCUAUAUAUAUAGAGAGAGAGAGAAAGAGAGAAAGAGAAAGAGAGAGAGUAUAUAUAUAUACAUACAUAUAUAAACAAAUAGAUAAAUACAGAAAUUCUUUUUAUCCUUAUUUAGAAACAACAAUUAAAGUACAACUGUCUUCAUACAAAUUCAUCAAGUUUGGUUUGCCACUGAAAUUACUUCCUCCUAUUCAUUUUUCCUUCCUUACGUUUUCUUUUGAUUCUUAGCUUCCCUAUCACAAACUGUAUGUUAUUUUUCUAUAUAUGCAUGUUUCAGAAUGUAAAUAAAUAUGUGUAUAACUUUGCUGUGUAGAGUGCAUCUGUCACCAUUUUUGCCAAUUGUGCACCAGUACUGAAAUGGCCAAUAAUACCAGCCACAACUCUCACUGCAAAUAUACUAACAUCAAAAUUCGUGAGUUUCCUGUCUUUCUUUUGUACUCAAUAUAUGUAAUUAUAUGAAUGAUCUUUAGUCUUUCUCAUAAUGCUGCAAUUUCUGGUUUUUCUCCUUUAAACAUUCCAACUUCCCUUUUUUCCUUCAUAUGUGGUUCAAAAUUUGGUACCACUUUUCAACUACUCUCUCUUAAUUUGUUUGUUUCUCAAAUUUGCUGAGUUUUCCUGAUUAUAUUGUUUUAUACUUUCUAUAACCUUAGUGAAAAUCCUGUCUCCAUCAUUGAAUUUGAAAUUUGACUUUUCUUUCACAUCUCAUUUUCCUUUACCCUAUGUUCUGAGACAACUUAUAUAUGUUUCUGUCACACUUCUAACCAAUUUUCACUCAUACAUGUAAUGCCUUAAACAAACACCUUUUAUUGGUGAUAAUGAUUCUAACAUUUGCUUUUGUUAAGUUAACUUUCUUCAACACUAUUUUUACAUUUAUCGUCAAUAUUUGAACAAUUCUGCACAUUUUAUUCAUUUUACUGUCUGUAGCCAUUUAUACAUUUCGGAACCAUGUAUCUAAGAACACAACAAGUUUUGACAUUACUGUCAACCUGGUACCUAUAUUUUCUUCAUUCUUCAACAACUUACAUCACCCAUACAUCACCAAUGUCAACUGCUGCUGUCAGUUAUUUCUAAAACAUUUUCUCUCUAAAACUUUUUCCAUUUCUCCUAAUAAUCUUACACAGGCACAACAGUGGAACUGUACUGCUGAACUUCUUACUAAUCCU
rnacentral:lncRNA from 1 species